rfam:Oceanobacillus picturae, S1, WGS project CCAX01000000 data, contig: 000001
UAAUAUUAUAAAAGGAAUGGUGCAGUAUUCUAGUCAGUCUUCCGUUUCUGAAGGCGGGCCUAAAAAUUCGCCAAAGGGCACAUCGAUGAAGUUCCUUGUGUAGGCUUGAGGCGCCCAGCCUUGGGUUUAUGCUGGGAGUUAAGGUUUUUGGGCGAUCCACAAAGGCAUGUGGGCGUUGACCCGAUUACCGCGGAGGCCCAUCUCUGUAGUAGCGACUAAGCCUAGGAGCUAUUAUGGAAUGGGGUAUGAACCUGCACAAUAUGGUAAGGGACAUCAUAUUUGCAGCGUAGCCUGCCUUGAGUGGUGUUUGAGGGGAUUAGAGUCAUAGGUAGCAACUCAUAUGGCCAAUGGGUUGACUAUUUUCAUCUCUAUGAAAUCAGCACUGCAAAAGAGGCUAGGGGACGGUUAAAGGCUGCUGAGGAAAUCUCCUAGACUGUUCGAAGACUUUUAAAAGGGAUUAUAGUGUGGACUAAGUGGUAAUCCAGUCUAGCAAUUGGUGACAAUGCUAAGAUGAUUUUAAAGGGGAACCGCCUACAUGGCAACAUGAGGUAAUCAUCUGGGAAAACCUACUGGACCUAAGCCACAGUUUUUACCUUUUAAAUGACCAUUCCUUACUACAUAUUU